UCUGGGGCCCUAAGCAUAGAGGAACCACAUCAAUCCAUCCCGAGCUUGGUGGUUAAACUCUACCGUUGUGACGAUACUAUGGGGGAGGUCCUGUGGAAAAAUAGCUCGACGCCAGGA
rnacentral:rRNA from 1 species